CGUGGCUCGGCCUCAUUUCCCGCUCUGGUUCAGGCGCAGGAGGAAGUGUUUUGCUGGAGGAUGAUGACAGAGGUCAGGCUUCGCUAAUGGGCCAGUGAGGAGCGGUGGAGGCGAGGCCGGGCGCCGGCACACACACAUUAACACACUUGAGCCAUCACCAAUCAGCAUAGGGAUCUGAGAAUUGCUCUCACACACCAAACCAGCAGCGUCCGUGGAGAAAACUCUCACCAGCAACUCCUUUAAAACACCGUCAUUGCAAACCAUUGUGGUCUUUAAGCAACAACAACAGCAAAAAAAAAAAAAAAACACCCCAACCAACCAAAACUCUUGACAGGAGCUUUGACGAAAGAGGAUGCCUCAUAAAGGGGGAAGACUUUAACUAGGGGCGCGCAGAUGUGUGAGACCUUUUAUUGUAAGAGUGGACAGACUUCCCAGAUUUCAG